rnacentral:rRNA from 1 species
GACGAACCGUGCGAACGUUAUUCGGAAUCACUGGGCUUAAAGCGCGUGUAGGCGGGUCGCCCCGUCGGCUGCUGAAAUCCCCCGGCUCAACCGGGGAACGGGCACCGAUACGAGCGGCCUGGAGGGGGGUAGGGGGGCCUGGAACUUCCGGUGGAGCGGUGAAAUGCGUUGAGAUCGGAAGGAACGCCCGUGGCGAAAGCGAGGCCCUGGACCCUUUCUGACGCUGAGACGCGAAAGCCAGGGGAGCGAACGGG